UUCUGUCGAACUCUGUUCUAUUCUUUUUAUAUAGUUGCCGAUUAUUAACUGUCAGGUCGUCUUAAAAUUGUGAAGAUUCUAUAAACACGUAAUUAUUACAAGUAAUAUAUAGGAUGAACUAAUUUGUGUAGAGUUACUAUACUAUCGGAAGUAUAGAGAAUUUUUUGCUUUUGAUUUUUUGAUUCUUUGAUAAAAAGUUAUACGAUUGGAAUGAUUACGAUCCUUUCUAAGAUUGAAUAAUACUCUUAAGAUUGAGUGGUCCCCACAGAGUAAUAGUAUUAAUCUAAAAAUUAGAAAUGAUUAAAGGGACUGAUUUAAGAGCUAAAAAGCUGUAAGCACCAGAUUCUCUAUACUUUCGAUAAUAUAAUAGCUAUAUUUGACUAAUUUUAACAUCCUUCUUACUAAACAAUCAUCAGUAUAAAAACAAGAUAA
rnacentral:lncRNA from 1 species